rnacentral:rRNA from 1 species
GACGAACGCUGGCGGCGUGCUUAACACAUGCGAGUCGAACGGAAAGGCCCUGCUUUUGUGGGGUGCUCGAGUGGCGAACGGGUGAGUAACACGUGAGUAACCUGCCCUUGACUUUGGGAUAACUUCAGGAAACUGGGGCUAAUACCGGAUAGGAGCUCCUGCUGCAUGGUGGGGGUUGGAAAGUUUCGGCGGUUGGGGAUGGACUCGCGGCUUAUCAGCUUGUUGGUGGGGUAGUGGCUUACCAAGGCUUUGACGGGUAGCCGGCCUGAGAGGGUGACCGGCCACAUUGGGACUGGGAUACGGCCCAGACUCCUCCGGGAGGCAGCAGUGGGGAAUAUUGCACAAUGGGCGGAAGCCUGAUGCAGCAACGCCGCGUGCGGGAUGACGGCCUUCGGGUUGUAAACCGCUUUCGCCUGUGACGAAGCGUGAGUGACGGUAAUGGGUAAAGAAGCACCGGCUAACUACGUG